AAUAGUUCGAAUAUAUAUUCAUUCUCUUGUUACUGCCAUCCCAUCAAAGCACUUUUGGUUGUUUAGUUUUUCUUUUUGUAAUAAUCAAUAUAUGAAGAGCAUGUAAAGGAGACGUUACUUGAAGGGAUUAUUCGUCCAUCAUUCUAUUUCCUCUGCAUUUCCAGGUAAUUAAUUGUCCCCUGUUUUUUUUUUUUUUAAAUUGAAAGAGGACCUUUCUUCUUAAGAUGGUACCAUUACUUCUAAACAAACGAAUAAAAUUAUUUGGCAUGUGCCUUUGCAUGACACUACUUUAAAUUAACAUUAUUAAAAACAAUGACAAUUAAAGUAGUGUCCUGCAAACUCACAAACCAAAUAAAACUCUCUCCUGUAACUCUUUAUACUAAUAUUAUUAUUCUUGGAAAAAUAAGUCGAUCGAUUUGAAAUUUUGAACUUAUGUUUUGCAAUUAAAGUAGAAAAAUCUAAACUUAAAGGGUCAUUUCCAGAAUUUUUUGUCGUCUCUUAAAAGUUGUCUUUUCUAUCAACAUUAAUUUCUCUCAAUUAAAGGUUGUGUUUUGUCAUCCAAAGCAACAACGAAGGUCAGAGUUCUAGAUGAGUGAGGAGGGAAGUGAGUUUUAGAUGGGUGAGAUACAUGGCUUAGGUCCAGCCUAGAAUUGUGGAUCUAAUCAUCCAUUCAAGUCCAAAAGUCUAUUUCAAAAAUGAACUUGGCUAGAAUUUAAUAUUUGUUUUCUAUAUGAGUCGUGCCUUGAAUAAAAAAAUAAGUUUAUUUUCGGGUUAGGUUAAGUCGGAGUUUAAAAAAUUGAUCUAGAUACUUUGUAUGUAACCGAUUCGACCCGAUCCACAUGCAUCUCUAGUCAAGCCUCUUGAACUUGGUAGGUGAUGUAAAAAUUCGGCUUCAUCGGUUUGAUAGGCUAAUGUUAUGGACUGUACAUUAAAACCCAUGAUCAAAUCAAAUAAAAUCAUUUAAGGAUGUCAAUUGAUUAAAUUGAAUUCACUUAACCUAUUUGGAUCGACUCAAUUCAUAAAACAUAUAGAAAAUUUAUAUACUUGUAAUUUAUAUACUUGUAAUUUGGUAGUUUAGUGGAACACUUGUGAGUAUUUAUCCUAAUAUUUAGUAUGAAUUAUUUCUCUUGGCUUAAACUUCCGUGACACUAACACGUGGCUCUACCAUUAUACAAUCUACAAGUUUGUGUUCCAUUCACAAUGUUGUUGCAGAGUAAAUGCUCCUGGUUCUUUCUUGUCAGAUGUGAUAUAUCAAAGGCAUCACUAAAAUUUUCCCAUGGCUGUGUUAUCAAAUUAAAGGAAACGUGGCAAAAUAACAUAGUGGCAGUGGCAGAGGCAUCGCGAUAUUUACCAAAUUUUCCCGACUGAUUUGAGCCGUACGACUAAUUGCUUGAAUCUUCCUAUCAAUGCUUCGAAGGUUUCUACACAUCCCUUUCUCUAACCAUCAGUCAGUCAAAUGAAAAGGCGUUGUGAUCAUGCAUUUGUUACCCUGUGAAACGACACGUUUAGCCUACAAUCAUUCAAGCACUUCCAUUACGAAAUUUCGUUGUACCCAUACAACACAAAAGGGCAAAACAAAGAUUCUUUAAUUAAAUUAACCGACAAUUUAACCAUGGCAAUGGAACAAAUUAGGAUACAUAGCCCGGAAAGUGUGGCCACAAUGUGCACAUGCUCUCAACAAAGCAUGUCGGAACAAAGAUUUGGGUGCCCUAAUUAGCAUCAAUGAAAUCUACAAACGCCACAGUUUAGACCGACCUGUAGAGGAAAAUAACUAAUACAAAAACACAUCUACUUUACAACCAAAAUGCUGUGGGACAGAAUGAUUCUAAACAAAUGGUCUUAAAUUAUAAUUACUAAUAUUCAAAAUAUUCAAAAAGAUAUGCAUUAAUUCAUAUCCUCAAGAAUCUUCCAUCACAUCCAGUUCGCCCAUUAUAGCUGGAGCAAACCCUUGUCUGAACCCACCCUUAUAUUAUUAUAUAUACACCAACACAUAUUUGUAUAUGAUAUCCAUCACAUCUAGCUAUUGUUGCAUUAUUGUAUUCUUGUUUGUGCCGUAUAAGAGGUGGAGUACUAAAUGUACACCUUCCCCCUAAACCUGAAUCUGCAUAAUGACAGCUUCAAACAGUCUUUAAUUCUAUAUCCCCUUUUUGAAAGGGCUGAUUAAUAUAUAUUGAAAAAAAAAAAGUAUACUCAGCCAGGCCCAACAUCACGGUCUACUAAUUUUA